ACGCUAGCUACAGGCUUAACACAUGCAAGUCGAGGGGCAGCAUGUUGGUUGCUUGCAACCAAUGAUGGCGACCGGCGCACGGGUGAGUAACGCGUAUCCAACCUACCCAAUACUCAGGCAUAACCCGUUGAAAGACGGACUAAUUCCUGAUGGUAUGUAUUUUUCUCAUGAAUUAUACAUUAAAGAAUUUCGGUAUUGGAUGGGGAUGCGUCUGAUUAGUUUGUUGGUGAGGUAACGGCUCACCAAGACAUCGAUCAGUAGGGGUUCUGAGAGGAAGGUCCCCCACAUUGGAACUGAGACACGGUCCAAACUCCUACGGGAGGCAGCAGUGAGGAAUAUUGGUCAAUGGAUGCAAAUCUGAACCAGCCAAGUAGCGUGCAGGAUGACGGCCCUAUGGGUUGCAAACUGCUUUUAUGUGAGAAUAAAGUUAGGUAUGUAUACUUAUUUGCAUGUAUCACAUGAAUAAGGACCGGCUAAUUCCGUGCCAGCGGCCGCGGUAAUACGGAAGGUCCAGGCGUUAUCCGGAUUUAUUGGGUUUAAAGGGUGCGUAGGCCGUUUGAUAAGCGUGCUGUGAAAUAUAGUGGCUCAACCUCUAUCGUGCAGUGCGAACUGUCGAACUUGAGUGCGUAGUAGGUAGGCGGAAUUCGUGGUGUAGCGGUGAAAUGCUUAGAUAUCACGAAGAACUCCGAUUGCGAAGGCAGCUUACCGUAACGUUACUGACGCUUAAGCACGAAGGUGCGGGUAUCGAACAGGAUUAGAUACCCUGGUAGUCCGCACAGUAAACGAUGGAUGCUCGCUGUUGGCCUUUGUGGUCAGUGGCUUAGCGAAAGCGUUAAGCAUCCCACCUGGGGAGUACGCCGGCAACGGUGAACUCAAAGGAAUUGACGGGGGCCCGCACAAGCGGAGGAACAUGUGGUUUA
rnacentral:rRNA from 1 species